rnacentral:rRNA from 1 species
UGGGGAAUAUUGGACAAUGGGGGGAACCCUGAUCCAGCAAUGCCGCGUGUGUGAAGAAGGCCUGAGGGUUGUAAAGCACUUUCAGAGGGGAGGAGGACUAUUAGGUUAAGAGCUAGAUAGUUGGACGUUACCCUCAGAAGCAGCACCGGCUAACUCCGUGCCAGCAGCCGCGGUAAUACGGGGGGUGCAAGCGUUAAUCGGAAUUACUGGGCGUAAAGCGCGCGUAGGCGGUCGAGUAAGUCGGAUGUGAAAUCCCCGGGCUUAACCUGGGAAUUGCAUUCGAUACUGCUUGGCUAGAGUGUGGAAGAGGGAAGCGGAAUUUCCGGUGUAGCGGUGAAAUGCGUAGAUAUCGGAAGGAACACCAGUGGCGAAGGCGGCUUCCUGGUCCAACACUGACGCUGAGGCGCGAAAGCGUGGGGAGCGAACAGGAUUAGAUACGUGUAGUCCCUGAGCGGGCUGGCAAGGCGCAU